rnacentral:rRNA from 1 species
UGAGUAAUGCCUGGGAAAUUGCCCUGAUGUGGGGGAUAACCAUUGGAAACGAUGGCUAAUACCGCAUAAUAGCUUCGGCUCAAAGAGGGGGACCUUCGGGCCUCUCGCGUCAGGAUAUGCCCAGGUGGGAUUAGCUAGUUGGUGAGGUAAUGGCUCACCAAGGCGACGAUCCCUAGCUGGUCUGAGAGGAUGAUCAGCCACACUGGAACUGAGACACGGUCCAGACUCCUACGGGAGGCAGCAGUGGGAAUAUUGCACAAUGGGCGCAAGCCUGAUGCAGCCAUGCCGCGUGUAUGAAGAAGGCCUUCGGGUUGUAAAGUACUUUCAGCAGUGAGGAAGGUGUUGUCGUUAAUAGCGGCAUCAUUUGACGUUAGCUGCAGAAGAAGCACCGGCUAACUCCGUG